rnacentral:lncRNA from 1 species
AUGCUUUCCUUCCGUUCUCUUUUUGCCAGCUUGCUUUGACCAAAACAUUUUUAAAUCAAGAGCAUCGGUUAUUUAUUAUGUCAUACUCUUUUCAUACUAUUUUGUUGCUUCUCUUUGCCAUGAAUGCUUAAAUUAAUGCUUUUUCCUUCCAUUUUCCUUUCGAUGCACGAGCAUAUUUUUAAGGAAAAUGAGAUUCCUUUUUGCGCUUCGUUUCUUAAUAAAAUAUUAGGAAAAUGAGAUUCUCACCACAGUGAGAACCACACUGAGCACAGAACGGUGCGUUUUGUGCUCAGUAUAAAUUCUAACUGUAGCGGAAAUAUCGCAACACAAACGCGCCAUUCCAAACCCACGCGCGUUCUCCCUCACGCCAACAAAUC